rnacentral:rRNA from 1 species
UGAGGAAUAUUGGUCAAUGGACGAGAGUCUGAACCAGCCAAGUAGCGUGCAGGAUGACGGCCCUAUGGGUUGUAAACUGCUUUUGUUUGGGAAUAAUCGACAUUACGUGUAAUGUUUUGCAUGUACCAUUCGAAUAAGGACCGGCUAAUUCCGUGCCAGCAGCCGCGGUAAUACGGAAGGUCCAGGCGUUAUCCGGAUUUAUUGGGUUUAAAGGGAGUGUAGGCGGUUGGUUAAGCGUGUUGUGAAAUGUAGAUGCUCAACAUCUGACUUUCAGCGCUAACUGGCUGACUUGAGUACACACAACGUAGGCGGAAUUCAUGGUGUAGCGUUGAAAUGCUUAGAUAUCAUGAAGAACUCCGAUUGCGAAGGCAGCUUACGGGAGCGCAACUGACGCUGAAGCUCGAAGGUGCGGGUAUCGAACAGG